rnacentral:pre_miRNA from 1 species
AGUGCGAUAGCUAGGUCAAAUGGUGGUUCCCUUCCGAAUUUUCUGAGGAAUCACCACACGGCUUUCCAAAGUGGUUACACCAAUUUGCAGUCCUAUCAGCAAU